GAGGUUGUGGCUCAGUGGCAGAGCACUUGCCUAGGAUGUGUGAGGCACUGGGUUUGAUUCUCAGCACCACG
rnacentral:tRNA from 1 species